GAUGAACGCUGGCGGCGGGCCUAAUACAUGCAAGUCGAGCGAACAGACGAGGGUCUUGCUCCUCUGACGUUAGCGCCGGACGGGUGAGUAACACGUGGAUAACCUACCUAUAAGACUGGGAUAACUUCGGGAAACCGGAGCUAAUACCGGAUAAUAUAUUGAACCGCAUGGUUCAAUAGUGAAAGACGGUUUUGCUGUCGCUUAUAGAUUGAUCCGCGCCGCAUUAGCUAGUUGGUAAGGUAACGGCUUACCAAGGCGACGAUGCGUAGCCGACCUGAGAGGGUGAUCGGCCACACUGGAACUGAGACACGGUCCAGACUCCUACGGGAGGCAGCAGUAGGGAAUCUUCCGCGAUGGGCGAAUGCCUGACGGAGCAACGCCGCGUGAGUGAUGAAGGUCUUCGGAUCGUAGAACUCUGUAAUUAGGGAAGAACUAAUGUGUAAGUAACUAUGCACGUCUUGACGGUACCUAAUCAGAAAGCCACGGCUAACUACGUG
rnacentral:rRNA from 1 species